rnacentral:rRNA from 1 species
UAGGGAAUAUUGGACAAUGGAGGCAACUCUGAUCCAGCCAUGCCGCGUGAAGGAAUAAGGCCCUAUGGGUUGUAAACUUCUUUUAGACGGGACAAAACCCCUUUACGUGUAAAGGGUUGAUGGUACUGUCAGAAUAAGCAUCGGCUAACUUCGUGCCAGCAGCCGCGGUAAUACGAAGGAUGCAAGCGUUAUCCGGAAUUAUUGGGUUUAAAGGGUGCGUAGGCGGACUAAUAAGUCAGUGGUGAAAGCCUGCAGCUUAACUGCAGAAUUGCCAUUGAUACUGUUAGUCUUGAGUACAGUUGAGGUAGGCGGAAUGUGUCAUGUAGCGGUGAAAUGCUUAGAUAUGACACAGAACACCGAUUGCGAAGGCAGCUUGCUAAGCUGUAACUGACGCUGAGGCACGAAAGCGUGGGGAGCAAACA